rnacentral:rRNA from 1 species
AAGGAUCAUUAUCGUACAA